rnacentral:misc_RNA from 1 species
UCCGGCUUAACACCGGCAGUCUCGUUAGAGUGCCCGGCUUUAACCGCUGGCAACUAAUGAUAAGGGUUGCGCUCGUUGCGGGACUUAACCCAACAUCUCACGACACGAGCUGACGACAGCCAUGUAGCACCUGUGUUCAGGUUCCCUUUCGGGCACCGCUGCACUUCUGCAGCGUUCCUGACAUGUCAAGGGUAGGUAAGGUUCUUCGCGUUGCGUCGAAUUAAACCACAUGCUCCACCGCUUGUGCGGGCCCCCGUCAAUUCCUUUGAGUUUCAACCUUGCGGUCGUACUCCCCAGGCGGGGUACUUCCUGCGUUAGCGCCGGCACCCAGAGGGUCGCUCCCCCAGGCACCUAGUACCCAUCGUUUACGGCGUGGACUAC